UUCCCUUUUUUUCUUUUUGUUUAACAUAUUUCCCUUUUUGAAACCCUAAGGCUUUGGCUCCUCGACACUCUUCGGCCGAGGGAUCAGUCCCGAGUUUCAAUCGAGCUACCUCAAUGUCACUGACCCAACCUAGAGAGUUCUCUAAAUAGCUAUGUUGUAGCAGGUGGAGGCGGCAACAACAAAUCUAGUGGCUGAGCAAGACAUGCCUGUGUACCUUCUUCCUUCCAAGAUCCUUUGUCGGGUCAUCAAUGUGAAGCUCAAGGCAGAUCCCGACACAGAUAAGCAAGAUGAGAACGUGGUUGAGAAAGAGCCUCCAGUGCCACCACGGUGAUGCCCUUUUCUGCACUCUGUGUCUGCAACUAGAUAAAUGGAGUCUCAGGUAUAAGAAGAUCAACAGUGUAAUCAGUAGCAAAGAGUAAAAACCCAAAGGUCAUGACCCACUCUCUCCACCUUUCCCCCAGCGAAAAAAAAGGAAAGAAACGCGAUAACAACAUACUUACUGAACCUCCUUCGUCUUUCUCUGUAUCCUUUCACCUCGCUCAACCCGCAAAGUCUACCACCGGACUUUUCCAUGUUCAAAAGCUCAUAUCCUCCUACAAGGUAGCAACCUGUCCUCAUUUGCAGUGGCUCCCAGUGCUUCCAAACCGUCCGACAGCCCAGUGUUGCUCGGUGACUCGGCGGAUAAAUCAUUAUCUUCAUGUUUUGACAAAUCGAGACACUAAACUUUAGCCAAGCAACAACCGAGGUGCUAUUAAGAAGGAUCAGUUAUUUUGGAAAGUACCCCAACUAUUAAUCCCAAAUUCAUAUUCUCGGUAAGAGACAAGAUCUUUUCUUUCUUCUUGAAUAUUUAUACGAAGCAUCUCUAUUUGAUAAGUCUGAAUGGCCAUAGAUGCCAAUAGAGAAGAUCUAAACAGGAGGUUUUUAGUAACCCAGCUAUAUUGGCCCAGCGGAAAAGAACUGGUUUUUACAUUUCGUGAUUUUAGUCAGCAGGGAUACUCCAACAUGGAUUCCAAGUGGGUUCUAUCCCUACUUCAUAUGGGAUGAGUGUAUUUGAUGAUCUUGGUGCACAAUUGGGAGAUUGGUGUUGCUUGAGGAGCUUUGGUGAGGCUUGGGACUAAGAUUGGUAGAGACUUCUAAAGAAGAGGCUCAAUUGAUUUGGCUACAAGAGGUACAGUUU